AGAAUCAACGCUGGCGGCGCGCUUAACACAUGCAAGUCGAACGAGAAAGUUCCCUUCGGGGGGCGAGUAAAGUGGCGGACGGGUGAGUAACACGUGGGUAAUCUGCCCUUGAGUGGGGAAUAACUCUGGGAAACCGGAGCUAAUACCGCAUACGAUCCUUCGGGAUGAAAGCUUUAUGCGCUCAAGGAUGAGCCCGCGGUCGAUUAGCUAGGUUGGUGGGUAAUGGCUCACCGAAGGCGACGAUCGAUA
rnacentral:rRNA from 1 species